rnacentral:rRNA from 1 species
UACAGAGGGUGCGAGCGUUAAUCGGAAUUACUGGGCGUAAAGCGCACGUAGGUGGCGACGUAAGUCGGGUGUGAAAGCCCCGGGCUCAACCUGGGAAUUGCAUUCGAGACUGCAUUGCUGGAGUACGGAAGAGGAAGGCGGAAUUCCCGGUGUAGCGGUGAAAUGCGCAGAUAUCAGGAGGAACACCGAUGGCGAAGGCAGGUCGUCUGGGACCACUACUGACGCUGAGAAGCGAAAGCAUGGGGAGCGAACAGG